CUCAGAUUGAACGCUGGCGGCAGGCCUAACACAUGCAAGUCGAACGGCAGCACAGAAGAGCUUGCUCUUUGGGUGGCGAGUGGCGGACGGGUGAGUAAUGUCUGGGAAACUGCCCGAUGGAGGGGGAUAACUACUGGAAACGGUAGCUAAUACCGCAUAACGUCGCAAGACCAAAGUGGGGGACCUUCGGGCCUCACACCAUCGGAUGUGCCCAGAUGGGAUUAGCUAGUAGGUGGGGUAAUGGCUCACCUAGGCGACGAUCCCUAGCUGGUCUGAGAGGAUGACCAGCCACACUGGAACUGAGACACGGUCCAGACUCCUACGGGAGGCAGCAGUGGGGAAUAUUGCACAAUGGGCGCAAGCCUGAUGCAGCCAUGCCGCGUGUAUGAAGAAGGCCUUCGGGUUGUAAAGUACUUUCAGCGGGGAGGAAGGCGGUGAGGUUAAUAACCUUGCCGAUUGACGUUACCCGCAGAAGAAGCACCGGCUAACUCCGUGCCAGCAGCCGCGGUAAUACGGAGGGUGCAAGCGUUAAUCGGAAUUACUGGGCGUAAAGCGCACGCAGGCGGUCUGUUAAGUCAGAUGUGAAAUCCCCGGGCUUAACCUGGGAACUGCAUUUGAAACUGGCAGGCUUGAGUCUCGUAGAGGGGGGUAGAAUUCCAGGUGUAGCGGUGAAAUGCGUAGAGAUCUGGAGGAAUACCGGUGGCGAAGGCGG
rnacentral:rRNA from 1 species